UGUACUGGUCAGCCCAGCGACUGGCUCCCUUUUCCGCCUUCUCUCGGGCCCUAACACAGUGUCCGAUGGAGCUUUCUUACCAGACCCUCAAAUUAACGCACCAGGCGCGGGAAGCGUGCGAGAUGAGGAUGGAAGCACGACGAAAAAAUCUUCUCAUUUUGAUUUUGCAUUAUUUAACUCAAGAAGGAUAUAUUGAUACGGCCAAUGCUUUGGAGCACGAAACUAAACUGGGGUUACGACGCUUUGAAGUCUGUGACAACGUUGAUCUUGAAACUAUUUUGAUGGAAUAUGAGAGCUAUUAUUUUGUAAAAUUUCAGAAAUACCCCAAAAUUGUCAAAAAGGCAUCAGACACAGCAGAAAAUAAUUUACCGCAAAGAAGUGGAGGGAAGACCAGAAGGGUGAUGAGCGACAGCAGUCAAAAUCUUCCCAGGAUCACCCAGCAGAGGCCACGGUCCAAAGCCACCACUGGGAAGUCAGGGGACACCAGGUCUCUCAACAAGGAGCAUCCGAAACAGGAGGUUAAUAACACCCACCUGGACAGUGCUGACUUUGGCUUAAAUAUAUCUAGAAUCAGCAAAGACAGUGGAGAGGAAAACGCCCACCCACGAAGAGGCCAGAUCAUUGACUUCAGGGGGCUGCUCACAGAUGCCAUCAAAGGAGCAACUAGUGAAUUAGCCUUGAACACCUUUGACCGUAACCCAGACCCCUCAGAACGACUGCUAAAACCUCUGAGUGCAUUUAUUGGCAUGAACAGUGAGAUGCGAGAAUUGGCAACCGUUGUGAGCCGGGACAUUUAUCUCCAUAAUCCAAACAUAAAGUGGAAUGACAUUAUUGGACUCGAUGCAGCCAAGCGGUUAGUCAAAGAAGCUGUUGUGUAUCCUAUAAGGUAUCCACAGCUAUUUACAGGAAUUCUUUCCCCCUGGAAAGGACUACUGCUGUACGGCCCUCCAGGUACAGGAAAGACUUUACUGGCCAAAGCUGUGGCCACUGAAUGCAAAACAACCUUCUUUAACAUUUCUGCAUCCACUAUUGUCAGCAAAUGGAGAGGGGAUUCAGAAAAACUUGUUCGGGUGUUAUUUGAACUUGCCCGCUACCACGCACCUUCCACCAUCUUCCUGGACGAGCUGGAGUCGGUGAUGAGCCAGAGAGGCAUGGCUCCUGGGGGAGAACAUGAAGGAAGCCUUCGGAUGAAGACAGAGUUACUGGUGCAGAUGGACGGGCUGGCGCGCUCAGAAGAUCUCGUGUUUGUCUUAGCAGCCUCUAACCUGCCAUGGGAGCUGGACUGUGCCAUGUUACGCCGUCUGGAGAAGAGGAUUUUGGUUGAUCUCCCCUGCCGGGAGGCCAGGCAGGCCAUGAUCCACCACUGGCUGCCCCCUGUGAGCAAAAGCACAGCCCUGGAGCUGCGCACAGAGCUGGAGUACAGCGUGCUGAGCCAGGAGACUGAGGGCUACUCGGGCUCAGACAUUAAGCUGGUCUGCAGGGAAGCAGCCAUGCGGCCCGUGAGGAAGAUCUUCAACGCGCUUGAAAAUCACCAGUCAGAGAGCAGCAAUUUACCUGGGAUCCAGUUGGAUACAGUGACCACUGCCGACUUUUUGGAUGUGCUAGCUCACACCAAACCCUCCGCAAAGAAUAUGACUCAGAGAUACUCAGCCUGGCAGAGAGAGUUCGAGUCGGUCUGAGAUCACGUUUACCCUGACCUGGCCACAAAGGCAACCACGGAGGUCUCCUAAUUUAUUAGUCUUCUGCAAACCCCGACCAAACUAGCCCGGCUUGGAAAUGCCACUGAGUAUUUUGAUUCUAGAGCUAAUAGCAGGGGUGAGUACACACCACCAUCACCAGCUACCGGUCUGAGUGUUUUGAGUUCUGGUCCCCAGUAGCGUCUUUUGACACUUUUCCCAUCUCACAUUCGGCGUUCUAUGCCUUUCUCUUUCCUUGUCUGAGUGUAUCUGAGCGCUGUAUUUGCUUCAGACUCUAACGCAUCUGCAGCGUAGGAUGGAGCACGCGGGCUUCGAGAACAUUUGUUCUGAGCCUCCCCUGCUUAGGCUCCUCCCCAUGUCCUUACAGGGUUAUAAGUGGCUUAGAAGCGUCUCUCAGAAACCCACAGUCAGAGGCAUCUACUUUCAACUCCUGAUGAACUUCGAAGGCUCCCACUAAGCUGCCACUUCUCUCCCACACUGGGACUCACCUAUGGGACUUUUUCUUCUCUUUUCCUUGCCUUGUUUUCGCCAUCCCUGCAGGCAGAUUUCUCCAGAAAGGAAAUACUCCCAAGAAAAGAGGCAUUUUGGAUGGCUAAGUAUUCCAGAGGAUUUUACUCUUUUAAGCACGAUGAAAACCUUUUUUUUUGGGGGGGGGGUAUUGAUUAUUUUGAGUGAUUAUCAAAUGCCUCCUAAAAUGUCGUUUCAUGGAAAUUGUAGUCAAAUUGAAAAUAUGCCUUAUAUAACGAAUUUAAAAUAAAAAAGAUUUCAGUUCAUGCUGAAUUUAAACUUCUGCAUGAGCAUUAGGUACCAGCUGCUGCAGCGCUGUCUCAGAUCCACAUGGCCAGACACAGCAGAGGUGACAACUCAAAGGCCUACAGGAGCAUGAAACGCAGCAGCAAAUGAGUGAAGUAAGCUUAGCGUAAGGCAAGGCAGAGGUGAGAACUGUGGUGAACUGGAGAGGGCCAGAGACCCUCUGGAGGACCCAGCAGUGACUCGGCUCCAAUUGAGCAUGGCAAUUUGCACGUACCAUUCCCAGCUCCUCCAAUCAUCCUAGAAAACCCAGUGGUUGAUUUGCAUGUCAAGCUCCUAAUGUUCAGGUGUUGGCCACUUAGGUUAACGAGCUGCCUGUAGAAUUCACACGGCCUGUUCCCACCCAUUCAGAUCACCUGCAGAAGCCGUCCCUGACCGCCCAUACUUACCCGAAGCCCAACCACAGCCCCAGUAGCUGUGUCCCUCUCCAUCGCUUAUCGGCACAUCAGCUGGUGAAACAAACAGGAGUUGAGCUGUGUAUGACAGCUACUCAGUAACUAGAAGAUCUGAAUUGAAAAUUGUAACUUGAUGUUCUCAAAAGAAGUACCAGUUUCUGACUUCAACAUGCUUUACUGAUUACAAUCAACAAGAACAGAUCGAUAGCAACUGAUGAGAGACGGAGAAUCUAAGAGGCAAGGGAAAUUAGACUUUCUAAUUGACACAGUUGAAGUUAACACAUUCAUGAUAAGUAUGAAAUGAACUGCAGAUUCUACAGUUUUCUACAUCAUGCCUGAUCUACUUUUAGUUUCACAAAUAUUAUUUUAUAAUUAAAGCAUGU